AUUACCGCGGCUGCUGGCACGUAGUUAGCCGGUGCUUAUUCUUACGGUACCGUCAUGACCCGAGGAUAUUAGCCUCAGGCUUUUCGUUCCGUACAAAAGCAGUUUACAACCCGAGGGCCUUCAUCCUGCACGCGGCAUUGCUGGAUCAGGCUUUCGCCCAUUGUCCAAAAUUCCCCACUGCUGCCUCCCGU
rnacentral:rRNA from 1 species